GAUGAACGCUGGCGGCGUGCCUAAUACAUGCAAGUCGAGCGGACGGACGAGAAGCUUGCUUCUCUGAUGUUAGCGGCGGACGGGUGAGUAACACGUGGAUAACCUACCUAUAAGACUGGGAUAACUUCGGGAAACCGGAGCUAAUACCGGAUAAUAUUUUGAACCGCAUGGUUCAAUAGAGAAAGACGGUCUUGCGGUCACUUAUAGAUGGAUCCGAGCUGCAUUAGCUAGUUGGUAAGGUAACGGCUUACCAAGGCAACGAUGCAUAACCGACCUGAGAGGGUGAUCGGCGACACUGGAACUUAGACGCGGUCCAGACUCCUACGGGAGGCAGCAGUAGGGAAUCUUCCGCAAUGGGCGAAAGCCUGACGGAGCAACGCCGCGUGAGUGAUGACGGUCUUCGGAUCGUAAAACUCUGUUAUUAGGGAAGAACAUAUGUGUAAGUAACUGUGCACAUCUUGACGGUACCUAAUCAGAAAGCCACGGCUAACUACGUG
rnacentral:rRNA from 1 species